rnacentral:lncRNA from 1 species
GAUGUAGUUAUACUAGUAGCUAAAAUAUUGAAAUACUUUUACAUACUUGCUAAAUAGCCACUGCUUUGUUCUUCCCCUUCACAGCCACUUUCCCUUGAGACUCUCAGACCUCCCACAAUCCAGAUACUAAAGGGUUGAAGCCUGGACCAGCAAGAGGCCUCCUGGACGCCCCCUCCCGCUGGCAUUUAUUAUAAUUGGUCAGUGCCUAUGCUGUACUGGUUGCUGAAUAGUCUCGCUCCAUGCCCAGCAGGCCCUUCCUACGCUGGAGCAGAACCAAGCUUCUCACACAGAGUCAGUCGAAACUAAUCCAUCUUUGCUAUUGGAAAGGGUUAUGGACUGCCCCCAACCACUACUCUUUCAGAAGACAAACACAUUUGGAAAAACCUCUUUCAAAAGACCACCAUCAGUUACCAAGAAUUGGCGCCUCUCAAAGACUGUUGCAUUUAAUACCAGUCAUCGGAAAGAGGAGGGCCAAUUUUCAUGCCCUGUUGUCAACGGUCUAUAACACAGCCACGGCAACACAAAAGAAAGAGUGGCUUCUUCCUUUGCUUACACAUUUGUAAACAAAAUCAGCAGAGAGCAAACAUAUGGCAAAGCAGAAUUUAGCACAUCAAAUUCCUGACAUACGAUAUGUUGAUUAUCUUCUAUCAGAAACAAGUAAAAACUGUUUGAAAAUUAAUCAGCAUCAACAAAGUUGUCUCAUUCCUUGGAAUUCUUUGGAUAACCUUUUCAUCUCCAAGAUUUGGAAGACUGCCUACCCUUAUAAUAGCAUUCACACCAAGUGUGAACUGAAGCUUUGGAGAAGCUGAAUUUGGAAGUUCUAAAUGGGAAAAAGUCAUGGAAUGAAAGGACCUAGAUUUAGGUCCGAGUCAUCGCUAACUGGAAGCGGGAGUUAAGCAUUUCAUUUCCUUAAACCUGACUUUCUGUAUUUGCUAAAUGAGAACAGGAAUAGCCCUUACUCAUCUUCCACAUAAAGGCUAUUAUGAGAUUUGGAGGAAUUUGCAAGGCUGUUUGCCUCUUAAAUGGGCUAUACAUACUCCCAGGAGGUUCUUAGCGGUGUUGACAGGUCCUUGAAACCACAGGAUCAAAACAUCGCAUCUUCCCAGAACAUCAAUUUUCUCAUAAGAUUUUCUAGGAUAGUUGAAAUUGAUUGGACUUUGGCUUUUUUUUAUUAAAACAAACACAGCUAUGUCAUGGAUCUUGCAUGAACUUUUAAGAUGAAAUUUACGUUUUCAAAGAAUUUCUUACUUUGGGGGAACUACUUUGGCCUAUCCUUCCAGAACUCCUGUGGUAACCAUCGAUUCUCUCUGCUGUUUGUCAUUCUUUGCUGGAAAAGUUUGAUAAGCCCUGUAAAGGAAAGCAUUUUAAAAACUUAAAAGCUUUCUGCUGAUGCAAACUCUUAGUAGUAGUCUCAGUAAUUUUGUCAAGGAAGGAAACAUUCUCAAAAACUGCUUUUUAUUGAAC